AUUCUAGGAUCAGACCUUUAGGGGGGCUCAGGCCCUACUGAGAAUGUGACACAGAUGCAUUGCAAAAGUGUUGAC